rnacentral:rRNA from 1 species
UACGGGGGGAGCAAGCGUUGUUCGGAUUUACUGGGCGUAAAGGGCGCGUAGGCGGCCACCGCAAGUCGACUGUGAAAUCUCCGGGCUUAACUCGGAAAGGUCAGCCGAUACUGCGGGGCUAGAGUGCAGAAGGGGCAACUGGAAUUCUCGGUGUAGCGGUGAAAUGCGUAGAUAUCUGGAGGAACACCGGUGGCGAAGGCGGCGUUCUGGACUGUUUCUGACACUGAAAAACGAAAGCCAGGGGAGCAAACGGG